AUGCAAAACAUAUUUGCUGCUCUCAUCUAGAGACAUUGCAAAGUGCACUUAUUUGUUAAAAAGUUCCCAAAAGUUGGUGCUACCAAUCCAAAUCAUCAGCAAACGUGAGCAUGCGCACUUGUCAGUCACUUUCCGACA
rnacentral:lncRNA from 1 species